AGAAUUUAUUUUGGGGGCAAGGGGCUAGGUUUUCAUUUGGUGUGUUGUGGCUUUUAAAAAAUCUUUGUUUAUGACAGUGCUUACGAUAUGAGACAGAAAAAAUUAGGGUGAUUUGAAAAAGCAGUUCAGAAGUUUUGUGAACACAAGACUCAGCAGAAGAGUGACUCGGGAGAAGACCAGGAGGCAUGCUUGUAAAUUGAGAGAACUAAGAUUUGAGGACAAAUUCCCUUUGAAUGUCAAGUGUCCAGUAUGGUGUCUUUCUUAAGCAAAGCUACAGUGCUAACAGAGGAAAAAGUGUUACCAACUUAGCAGGAGAAUGUGGCAGACAAGACCCAUGGUCCUGGCACCGGCCACAUGAAAGAUACACAGUAUAAUGAAAAAGAAAGUGAUUGGGCCGGGCACAGUGGCUCAUGCCUGUAAUCCCAGCACUUUGGAGGGCCAAGGCAGGUGGAUCACUUAAGGUCAGGAGUUCAAGACCAGCCUGGCCAACAUGAUGAAACCCCAUUUCUACUAAAAAUACAAAAAUUAGCCAGGUGUGGUGGUGUACUCCUAUAAUCCCAGCUACUCGGGAGACUGAGGCAGGAGAAUCGCUUGAACCCAGGAAUUUGA
rnacentral:lncRNA from 1 species